rnacentral:rRNA from 1 species
AACGAACGCUGGCGGCAGGCUUAACACAUGCAAGUCGAACGGUUGUAGCAAUACAGCAGUGGCAGACGGGUGAGUAACACGUGGGAACCUUCCUAGGGGUACGGAACAACUCAGGGAAACUUGAGCUAAUACCGUAUACGUCCGUGGGGAGAAAGAUUUAUCGCCCUUAGACGGGCCCGCGUCGGAUUAGCUAGUUGGUGGGGUAACGGCCUACCAAGGCGACGAUCCGUAGCUGAUCUUAGAGGAUGAUCAGCCACACUGGGACUGAGACACGGCCCAGACUCCUACGGGAGGCAGCAGUGGGGAAUCUUGGACAAUGGGCGCAAGCCUGAUCCAGCCAUGCCGCGUGAGUGAAGAAGGUCUUCGGAUUGUAAAGCUCUUUUGCCAGGGACGAUAAUGACGGUAGCUGGAGAGUAAGCCCCGGCAAACUUCGUGCCAGCCGCCGCAGUAA